AAGCCAUGGUGAGGGCAUCUUUAUAGGAGGUCCUUGAAUCUCUCAUGAGCUUUAAAGAACAUCUCAAACUCUCUUUGACUGAAUGCUGAAAUCUCCUGCCUCAGUCU